rnacentral:misc_RNA from 1 species
GAUGAAGAACGUAGCGAAAUGCGAUAAGUAAUGUGAAUUGCAGAAUUCAGUGAAUCAUCGAAUCUUUGAACGCACAUUGCGCCCCUUGGUAUUCCGAGGGGCAUGCCUGUUCGAGCGUCAUUAUAACCCCUCAAGCUCAGCUUGGUGUUGGGGCCUGCUGCACUGGCAGCCCUUAAAAUCAGUGGCGGCGCCAUCUGGCUCUAAGCGUAGUACAUCUCUCGCUCCAGUGCCCGGUGGUAGCCUGCCAGAACCCCAACUCUCGUGGUUGACCUCGGAUCAGGUAGGGAUACCCGCUGAACUUAAGCAUAUCAAUAAGCGGAGGA